GAUGAGGAGUUGCGGGAAGCAGCAGAGAGCUCUAAAAUCAACAGCUUUCUCCAAGGAAGUGAGAAACCACAAGAAUCAAUAGCUCAACCCAAUGCGAGCAGUUCAUAAGAGCCGUUGGCUGUGGGUGCAAGAACAAUAUGUCUGUAAAGGUUUUGAGUAUUUCAAAUUGUAAUGAUUAUUGUACACUGAUGUGGAUGCAAUAAUCGUAUAAAAUAAGAGAAAAGGGUAUUUUUGUGCUUUGGUAUCUCACAGUGCUGGGAUGAAUAGUGCAGCACCACAUAUUCUUCAACACAAAUCACCUCAAAUGUAAUAAUUCUUCUCACUUAAACCAGCGCAUUGCUUGGAUCAUUCUUUGUCUCCUAUCGUCUUGCAAACGUUUCUCUUGUUACUUGAAUUAUGCAUGAGAGGCAUUUUAGCAAUAAUAUAAUGUAGUACUUUUCCCCUUUAGACUCCUAAUUUUCACCGUC